AGUGUCUGCUGCCAGGUCCUGAGCAUCCCCCAGAGCACUGUGCCCCCUCUGAGGACGUGCUUGGCACCUGCACAGCCCCCCAGGCCUGACCCUGCUGCCAUUCAGUGCCACCUUUCAAAUCACCCAAGUCAAAUCAGGAUUCAGCGUUGACAGGGGUUGUUCUGAAUGUAACAGGAUCCCACGGCAGAUGUAAACCAGACUCCAGGCAUUUGCUGCGUGUUUCACCGAGGAGUCUGAUUGAGGAUCCAGGUGUGACAGCUGAGGCUCCAGAAAUUGGGAAUGCAACCAAACCAACCCAGAGGUAAGAAAAACCCAGAUGCCUUCCCCCAGAAAAUCCAUUUGAUGCCUGGGCUAAAAUAUGCAUUGUGCCCAGGAAAGAGCUUUUUCAGCCUAGAAAAACCCAAGGAGCUGAACUUGGCCUUGGCCUGAGGUGGCUGGUGACACUGGACAAGCCUCCUGGUACUUUAAGGUGUCUGCAACAGCACUCCCAGCCCCCAGGAGCAAUGCUCCAGGGCAAACAUCCUGCAUGCAGCCUAGCAGGAGCCCCAAAAGACAGGGAACAGCCCCACUGUCCCCCUCCAGGAGAAAAAGGGCUGCAGCUUCAAUUUAAACAAUUGUUGCCAGGCUUUCAUCAGUGACUCCUUGGUCUCUGAGACAGGAUCCCUUGUUAGCAGGGCACUAUCUGGGGACACCCCCUGUUGCCAAGGCACCUUGACUGGAGGGACUUUCUGCUCCUCCUUCUGCUCCUUCCUCUCACCUCUUGUUUUCCAAAGCAGCCCUGGCUUGGCAGAGCAUCUCAGCUCUGUGGGCACAGACGUGCACAAAGCUGACUGCACCCCAAACAGCUCUGCCCUGCCGUGGGCUCUUGGCUCUCUGCUCUUUGUUUUAGCAGAGAUGGAGGAGAGAUUGUUUUGCUGGAGCACUGAGCACCCUGUGGGCCAGUUCGUUCAGCUUUGUCACCAGGAUGCAUCCUGAGGUCCCAGCCUGGCAGAGCGGUGCUGGGCUUCCCUUGGCCACGUGGGCACCGUGAGGAAGGGCAAACACGGGAUGGUGAGAUAGGAAGGGAAUAAACUCGUU